CACUUUGAAGAGAGAGUUCAAGAGGGCGUGAAACCGCUUAGAAGCAAACGGGUGGAGCUGCAAUUCAGUCUAUCAGGAUUCAGCUCGUUAUCUGAUUGAUCACGUUGAUARCAUGGUUCAAUGUGYUUCGUCAAUUGAUUCAAUCGUUAACGGGUGCACUUUCUGUAGAUGAGCGCCACGACCGAUCGCUGCGCUGGCAAACGACGGUACAGUUGCCGACCAAGCACUUUCACCGGUGUUUGGAGCCCCGCUGAACCGUUCCGUCCGAGUUGCAGUUAUCGAGUAACGGCCGCGUUCGCAUUGUCUCUUGCAGCGCUGCUUCUGGUGCGAUUGAAACUAUUGGUUUUGCUUCCGCAAGAUCAGUUAACGCUCGUGCUAUGAUAGCAGUGUUUGUAGUAGAGUAAACGCAUAGGGUCAGUGGCGUCUGUGUCAGCCUCCCACCCGACCCGUCUUGAAACACGGACCAAGGAGUCUAACAUAUGCGCAAGUCAUUGAGUUGUAAACUCAAAGGCGCAAUGAAAGUAAAGGCCAAUUCGGUUGGCUUAAGUGGGAUUCUCGAAAUGCUUGCAUUGUUGAGACGCACCACUGUCCCGUCUCGUAUUCAUUGUAAUAGAGGCGGAGAAAGAGCGUAUACGUUGGGACCCGAAAGAUGGUGAACUAUGCCUGAGCAGGAUGAAGCCAGAGGAAACUCUGGUGGAGGUCCGUAGCGGUUCUGACGUGCAAAUCGAUCGUCAGACUUGGGUAUAGGGGGCGAAAGACUAAUCGA
rnacentral:rRNA from 1 species